AAAUUUAUUGGUACUAUCUCACCUCAUUAAAUACUUAAAUAGACCUGACAGGACAGAAAAACGGGGCCUUUUUUAUUUUUUUUCUCUUUCCAAAGGGAGCUGGCGUUUCCCCGCGUCCCAAUUCACCUCUGCAGCAGCCGCUGGCAAAGAAAGGAGACGAAGGGCAAGGGAAGAGGAGCUGCGGCCAGCCGCCGCCGCCGCCGCCGCCGGGAGAUUCCCCGGCUCCCAGUCACAGCACUGGCUGUAGUCCCGGUGCUUGGAAGAGCAGGCUGACUGAAAAAAGCCCAGUCUGCACGGAUAUGGGCGGCAGGGGGCCGCGGGAUAAGCGAGGAGGGAGAAAUGUGAGACUUUAGAGCUGGAGAGGACCUUUGAGGCCACCUAGGUCAGCAUCCUCAUUUUACAAAGAAGGCAACUGAGGCUCAGAGAAGGGAAGGGAUUUGCCCAAGGUCAAAGAGUCAGCGGAGGGAUUUGAGCCCAAGCCCUCUGAAUUCACAUCCAGUGUUCUUGCCUUUGCUCUGAGGGGAUCAGGGCUGGGGGUGGGGAAGGUGAAGGGGAGGAGGAGAAGCAGAAGCAAGGCCCAAAAAUUCUUGCCUUUGCUAAAUUGCACAAAGUCUGACUUUUAAAUUUUCCAAGAAGAGCCUUGUCAGUCAUUCUACCCAGUACAGCUGCCAGAAAUAAAGGUCAGGGUGACUGAAGAGGCAAGAAGAAAGAAAAAAAAGCAAAAACAAAAACCAAAACAAAACACCGGAGUGCCCUCAGUCCAUUUGUCGUGACUGAGACUUGUGCUCUUUAUUUAGCAAAUAGCUCUGAACCGUGGUGUCAGAUUCCAACUGGGCCCAGGAUUCCCUGACCUUGGCAGUCUUAAUGCAGACUUGUAGAGAGUCACCAGCCUCUUGGCCCUGGGCAAGGAACAGUUGAUGGCAGAGGGCAGAUUUGAGAAGGGGGAUGGGCAAGAAACACUGUACCCCAGCUGCCUUCUGAGCUCCCUCAAACAACUGCGUAAUUUUCAGGAGGAAGAGAACAAUGGGGUGAGAAGAUGGGAAGUGAGACUUCUCAGAGAUGUACACCCCAAAGCGACACAAGUUUCCGGAACAACGAGCAUGCCAUCUGGAAUAAAAAGGGUUUGAGAG
rnacentral:lncRNA from 1 species